CAGGGGAAUGAAGAGCAGACGACGCGCAGCCCAAGUCCUCAUCCCAGAGCUGCUUCCCUGGCCCGCUGCGGUCAGGGCGCGUGGGUUCUCCCACAGCGGCUCUUCCGGCUGGCUCCACGCCAAUCACACGUGAGCACGUGAGCCGCCCAAACUCAGGAACUGUGUCUUUGCUGCCCGCUGCCUCCCGAUGCCUGGGACAGUGCCUGACAAGAACAUGUGCUUGCCGAUUGCCAUGAUGGGACAAAUGAAUGACACGAGUUACCCGGCCUCUGCAGUCUCUCCUCGCGAAAACACGGGCCGCGAGGGGGUCAGCCGGGCUGGCUGGGGGAAGGAGCGGGGAGAGAACCCCACGGGCCGGGGCUGCCCGGGGCGCCCCCUCGCCGCCCCCGAUCUUUGCCCAGCGCCCGCCUCCCGUUCCCACCCGCGACUUCCCCGGGACCGCCCGAAAGCUCACUGCCCUGCCAGGAGAGGAGAAGACCUACAGACCUUGGCUUUGACCUUGAGGAAAUGGAAAAACUUGGACCUUAAAGACAGAUUUCCAUGGCUAAGACAUGGGCAGGCUGUGUGACCUUGGGCACAUUACCUAACCUCUCUGAACCUCACGUGCUAGUGAGGAUUCAGUGAGCUGACAACUGUACAGGGCCUAAACGGCCUCCUGGCAUGGACUAAACUCUCAGUAAACCGGUGCUUUCUUAUGAUUCAG